rnacentral:misc_RNA from 1 species
AGUCGUAACAAGGUUUCCGUAGGUGAACCUGCGGAAGGAUCAUUACCAAUCCAAUUUCAUCCUUUCCUGUGAACUAUAAAUAUUGUACAAUAUUUGGGUGGAUUUAAUAAAAAACUACCCUUUUAUUAAUCCACCCAAAUAUUAUAAUUAACAAUUCCUAUUCGUUUCUAUAAAAUAUAUAAUUUUUGUUAUUGGAUCAUUUUCCAAUACAAAAUUUAAAAAAUUAAAAUAUACAACUUUUAGCGGUGGAUCUCUUGGCUCAU